UUUUAAUUUCCAUUAUUUGAAAUGUAUUUGUUGUACAAUGCUUUUGACACGAAAUAAAUAAAUCAGUUUCCUUGCACAGUCUGCAUUUUGGGUCAUCAGCUGAUUUUUCAAUCUUGGCCUUAAUUGCGUUUGUUCUUAUGGCUUGCUCCUGGGCUGCAAGGAUCAGGCCUUCUGUCUCCUUCUUCAGUGUCCCAUUCGUGAGCCAGAGCCAGGUCUUCUCCUUAUCAGCUUUUCCUUCAAUUUUGUCAAGGAACUUUCCAUGCAAUGUUUUGUUGUGCCAGCUGUCAGCUCUAGUUUGUAGUGUGGUUUUCUUGUACUGAUUUUCUGUCUGCUGUGCUUUGAGGAGUUUCUGAUUUUUGACUUCAAUCAAAGCAGGUUCUUCACUUUGCUUUACAUAUUCGGCCAGGGCAUGUUCUUCUUCUUUGACUGCUUGUUUUACUUGUAAGACUCCUCUGCCCCCUGAUCUUCUAGGCAGAUAUAGCCGGUCAACAUCACAGUGAAUGAUGAAUGGUCAUGAGUUUUCUUGUUUUUCUGAACAAAUUGUCCAGUUCCGCCUGUGUCCAAUUUAUAAUGCCAGCAAAUACACACAAAGGGUCAGAAAAAUUCUCAAAAGCAAGCUCAAUGGAGGCAACACCAUCAAGGCCAUAAACACCUGGGCCAUACCUGUCAUAAGAUAUACUGCUGGCAUUAUAAACUGGACACAGGCGGAACUGGACAAUUUGGACAGAAAAACAAGAAAACUCAUGACCAUUCAUCAUUCACUGCAUCCUCGCAGUGAUGUUGACCGGCUAUAUCUGCCUAGAAGAUCAGGGGGCAGAGGACUCUUACAAGUAAAACAAGCAGUCAAAGAAGAAGAGCAUGCCCUGGCAGAAUAUGUAAAGCAAAGUGAAGAACCUGCUUUGAUUGAAGUCAAAAAUCAGUAACUCCUCAAAGCACAGCAGACAAAAAACCAGUACAAGAAAGCCACACUACAAACUAGAGCUGACAGCUGGCACAACAAAACAUUGCAUGGAAAGUUCCUUGACAAAAUUGAAGGAAAAGCUGAUAAGGAGAAGACCUGGCUCUGGCUCACGAAUGGGACCCUGAAGAAGGAGACAGAAGUCCUGAUCCUUGCAGCCCAGGAGUAAGCCAUCAGAACAAACGCAAUUAAGGCCAAGAUCGAAAAAUCAGCUGAUGACCCAAAAUGCAGACUGUGCAAGGAAGCUGACGAAACCAUUGAUCAUAUCCUCAGCUGCUGUAAGAAAAUCACACA
rnacentral:lncRNA from 1 species